CCUACGGGAGGCAGCAGUGAGGAAUAUUGGUCAAUGGGCUUACGCCUGAACCAGCCAAGUCGCGUGAGGGAAGACUGCCCUAUGGGUUGUAAACCUCUUUUGUCAGGGAGCAACGCCGGCUACGUGUAGCCGGACUGAGAGUACCUGAAGAAAAAGCAUCGGCUAACUCCGUGCCAGCAGCCGCGGUAAUACGUAGGUGGCGAGCGUUAUCCGGAAUGAUUGGGCGUAAAGGGUGCGUAGGCGGCCUGCUAAGUCUGGAGUGAAAGUUACCGGCUCAACCGGGACAGGCUCUGGAAACUGGCGGGCUAGAGAGCAGGAGAGGGAGGUGGAACUCCAUGUGUAGCGGUAAAAUGCGUAGAUAUAUGGAAGAACACCAGUGGCGAAGGCGGCCGCCUGGCCUGUUACUGACGCUGAGGCACGAAAGCGUGGGGAGCAAAUAGGAUUAGAUACCCUUGUAGUC
rnacentral:rRNA from 1 species